AAAAAAAGAAAGUUUACCACCUUCCCACUCGCUCUCUCUUGCUCCUCUUUCAUCAUGUGAUGUGCCUGCUCCCGCUUUGCCUUCUGCCAUGACUGGAAGCUUCCUGAGGCCUCCCCAGAAGCAGAUGUCACUAUGCUUCCUGUACAGCCUGCAGACCCAUGAGCCAAUUAAACUUCUUUUCUUUAUGAAUUACCCAGACUCAGGUACUUCUUUAUAGCAAUGUGAGACUGGCCUAAUAUAGUAAUGUCAUCAGUAAGAGGAUGAAUAAUUUCUAGUUUUGAGAGUUAAUCUAUGUAAGUUGCUCUAGACAAAAAUCUAGUCUAAAAGAGCUAUCUAAUACAUUGAUCUUGAUAUGCCACUUAAGAAAUACGAUUUUAAAAUAUUUCUUUUUGCAGAAUACUUUUCACAUUCUCAAUAACUUUCAAUGAAACUUCAUUUGAAUGGCUGUGAAAACAUCACAGAGAAUCACAUAAGUAGUGCUUUAGUGAUUAAGGUGUCUACAAUCACUUCCUGAUCACAAUACCAAUAAGUUGCUUUCUCAGCACCAGUAAGAUUGGGCAAGUCAAGUUCCAUUUUCAUGCUGCAUCCUUACAGGGUAAUCUCAAAUAACACACAAGAAAAUGAGCAGAUAGUACUGGCUGUAAUCUAAUAUUACUAAAAUUGUCUUUGGAAAAAAUGGGUUGUGCCAUAGAACAAAAGUUGUAAUAUCCCAUGUGUACUUGCCUAAUUUUCCUUCAAUAUUCCUUUUUAGUUGGGGUACCCAAUAGGGUGAUAAAUUAUAACACUAAAGAACUCAUCUAUCAAAAUUAGCAUGAAGUCCAGUGUUAACCUCUGCUCACACCACCCCUGUCUUCCAGCCAACAAACCUCUCAAGGACUACCCUGGCCCACCAUGCCCCCAUCUUGAUAAAAACCCGAGACCCUAGUGGGCAGACACACAGAAGCAGCUAGAUGUGGAGAGGAACACAUCCGGGGAAGAAGACACAAGUGGCUGGUCAUUGAGAGCACGCCAGCAGACGAGCACGCUGAUGGGCACCUGCAGGCCAUCGACCAGCGGAAGGACAUGGAGUUUGGCUGGAGCAGUCAGAGAAAAGUCCAGCCACUUGGUCCAGGGGAAAACCAUCUCCCAUCUGGCUCCCACAUGUGCUGAGAGGUA
rnacentral:lncRNA from 1 species